GACGUAGGGCGCGAGCGUUGUCCGGAUUUAUUGGGCGUAAAGAGCUCGUAGGCGGCUUGUCGCGUCGUCCGUGAAAACCUGCAGCUCAACUGCGGGCUUGCGGUCGAUACGGGCAGGCUAGAGUUCGGUAGGGGAGACUGGAAUUCCUGGUGUAGCGGUGAAAUGCGCAGAUAUCAGGAGGAACACCGGUGGCGAAGGCGGGUCUCUGGGGCCGAUACUGACGCUGAGGAGCGAAAGCGUGGGGAGCGAACAGG
rnacentral:rRNA from 1 species